UACGUAGGGUGCAAGCGUUAAUCGGAAUUACUGGGCGUAAAGCGUGCGCAGGCGGCUUCGCAAGCCAGAUGUGAAAUCCCCGGGCUUAACCUGGGAACUGCAUUUGUGACUGCAUGGCUGGAGUGCGGCAGAGGGGGAUGGAAUUCCGCGUGUAGCAGUGAAAUGCGUAGAUAUGCGGAGGAAUACCGAUGGCGAAGGCAAGCCCCUGGGCCGGCACUGACGCUCAUGCACGAAAGCGUGGGGAGCAAACAGG
rnacentral:rRNA from 1 species